rnacentral:rRNA from 36 species
GUGGGUUGCAAAAGAAGUAGGUAGCUUAACCUUCGGGAGGGCGCUUACCACUUUGUGAUUCAUGACUGGGGUGAAGUCGUAACAAGGUAACCGUAGGGGAACCUGCGGUUGGAUCACCUCCUUA